rnacentral:rRNA from 1 species
GACUGGCCCAACUGAUUGAUGGUGCUUGCACCGGAUUGACGAUGGAUCACCAGUGAGUGGCGGACGGGUGAGUAACACGUAGGUAACCUGCCCCGGAGCGGGGGAUAACAUUUGGAAACAGAUGCUAAUACCGCAUAACAACAAAAGCCACAUGGCUUUUGUUUGAAAGAUGGCUUUGGCUAUCACUCUGGGAUGGACCUGCGGUGCAUUAGCUAGUUGGUAAGGUAACGGCUUACCAAGGCAAUGAUGCAUAGCCGAGUUGAGAGACUGAUCGGCCACAAUGGAACUGAGACACGGUCCAUACUCCUACGGGAGGCAGCAGUAGGGAAUCUUCCACAAUGGGCGCAAGCCUGAUGGAGCAACACCGCGUGAGUGAAGAAGGGUUUCGGCUCGUAAAAGCUCUGUUGUUGGAGAAGAACGUGCGUGAGAGUAACUGUUCAUGCAGUGACGGUAUCCAACCAGAAAGUCACGGCUAACUACGUGCC